rnacentral:rRNA from 1 species
UACGUAGGAGGCAAGCGUUGUCCGGAAUUACUGGGCGUAAAGCGCGUGUAGGUGGUGGGACAAGUCUGCUGUGAAAGCGCCUGGCUUAACCGGGCGAGGUCGGCGGAAACUGUCCGACUCGAGGACGGUAGAGGGGGUGGAAUUCCCGGUGUAGUGGUGAAAUGCGUAGAGAUCGGGAGGAACACCUGUGGCGAAGGCGGCCCCCUGGGCCCGCCUUGACACUGAGACGCGAAGGCGUGGGGAGCGAACGGG